CCUACGGGAGGCAGCAGUGGGGAAUAUUGCACAAUGGGCGAAAGCCUGAUGCAGCAACGCCGCGUGAGCGAUGAAGGCCUUCGGGUUGUAAACCUCUGUCUUCAAGGAAGAUAAUGACGCUACUUGAGGAGGAAGCCCCGGCUAACUACGUGCCAGCAGCCGCGGUAAUACGAAGGGGGCUAGCGUUGUCCGGAAUUACUGGGCGUAAAGGGUGCGUAGGUGGUUUCUAAAGUCAGAGGUGAAAGGCUGUGGCUCAACCGUAGUAAGCAUUUGAAACUGGGGAACUUGAGUUCAGGAGAGGAGAGUGGAAUUCCUGGUGUAGCGGUGAAAUGCGUAGAUAUUAGGAGGAACACCAGUUGCGAAGGCGGCUCUCUGGACUGUAACUGACGCUGAGGCAUGAAAGCGUGGGGAGCAAACAGGAUUAGAUACCCUUGUAGUC
rnacentral:rRNA from 1 species